rnacentral:rRNA from 1 species
AGUGAACGCUGGCGGUAGGCCUAACACAUGCAAGUCGAACGGCAGCACAGUAAGAGCUUGCUCUUACGGGUGGCGAGUGGCGGACGGGUGAGGAAUACAUCGGAAUCUACUUUUUCGUGGGGGAUAACGUAGGGAAACUUACGCUAAUACCGCAUACGCCCUACGGGUGAAAGCAGUGGAUCUUCUGACCUUGCGCGAUUGAAUGAGCCGAUGUCGGAUUAGCUAGUUGGCGGGGUAAAGGCCCACCAAGGCGACGAUCCGUAGCUGGUCGGAGAGGAUGAUCAGCAAGACUGGAACAGAGACACGGAACAGAAUACUACGGGAGGGAGCAGUGGGGAAGAAUGGACAAUGGGAGAAAGCAUGAAACAGGCAUACCGCGUGGGUGAAGAAGGGGUUCGGGUUGUAAAGCCCUUUUGUUGGGAAAGAAAAGAAGCAGGUUAAUACGACGCUGUUCUGACGGUAGCCAAAGAAUAAGCACCGGCUAACUUCGUG